UAAUUUCCACAUUCCAAAUUACAGGGGAAGAUCUAGUCUUCACUAAGACAAGAACUCUUGUUGUCAAACAUUUCUGCAGCAUAAACAACCCACAAUACACAUCGUGCAACCAUUUAUUUAAAUCUUCACAGAACUUGUGCACAUCUAUGUGACCCAUGAUCAUAUGAUCUAAUUGAACAAUCAUUGUCACGCAUGGCCAACCACAAAAUUGUGGCUUUAUCUAGCUACGUUGGUUGCAUUCUUAACACAAUUUCGAUGGUGUGAACACAACUAGCACUGCCUUUGAGGUAAAACACCUCUUAUCAGGCAUUGCUCAUAGAAAUGCUCAGUUAUAGCCGGUCCACCACGGCCUCGUGUCGUCAUCGGAUUUUAAAUUUCAGUCACCCAAUUUUGUAAAUUCACACUCCAAACGUUGUUUCAACAUCAGUAUAAAAAUCCAUUUUCCUAUAGACUUAAACUACAAAUAAUAAGAUUAAGCCCCUGUU
rnacentral:lncRNA from 1 species